UAAUUGUCAGUCUUAUUUUUAUAGUUAUUUUGCUUAUGUAGGAUUAAUUAAAUAAAUUCAUGUUUUCAUUCUCGGUUUCGCGCAAAGAAUAAUAUUCGGGUUCAAACGACCCAUUUUUAGGCCUAAUUUUCGAACCUAGCCCGUAACAAUCCGAGCCCACCACACGUGGGGGACAAAGACAAACACAAGAACAUGGGCACAUGGACAAAGUAACAUGGGAAGGCUUUUAAAAUUGGACCACUUAGAUUUAAAAGAAAAAAAGAGAAAAAGCAUAUAAAAACACCCUACAUUUACAUAUACACGGAUGAGCACAUGAAAGGGGGGACUUAGACAUUUUUUUUUUUUGAAAAAAAGAAAGGGAAGACCACUACUGUUGGUCUUCUUCUCCAUUUUUGGAGAAGAAAAAAAAACCACCACGACCAUAACUCCACCUCCUUCACGUCUCAAAACCACCACUGCCCGUCACCGGAAAAAUCGUCCAGCGACCACCCUUCCACCUCCAGCAACCACCGUCGCCCCAGCUUCCUCUCCGUCUCACGACCACCAUCAACAGCCCACCAUCCCUCACGAACCAGCAGCAACGUCGUCAACCAAACAGUCCGUCGACCACCCUAUCCUCCAGCGAGCUCCAGCUCCACCAAAACAGCCAUCGCUGUUGCGCCAUCACCUUCCUCACGUCUAAACGACUACCCCCUUUACGUCAUCACCUUCCUCACGUUCAAACGACUACCCCCUUUACGUCAUCACCUUUCUCACGUCCAAACGACCACCCCCUUUACGUCAUCACCUUUCUCACGUCCAAACGACCACCCUCUCACAUCUGCUGCUAUCGUGACUGGUCGAGAAAUACAGCAGAAGCGUGAGAAACUUCCAAUUCGAGUUUGCCAAGGUUGAUUCCAGUUUGAAGUCGAGUUGACGACGAGGUUUGUUGAUGUAUCCGGCGUCGGUUACGGUCAUUGUGCGCGUCAAAUAAUUGACGUUGUAAAAGUCUGCCAACGGAUCAUUUUAUUAAAGAAAGAAGGUCCAUUCCUUUAUUUCAUCUAUUGUUUCAAUGUCUUUUACAUUCUUGUUUCAGUUUGGAUUUUUGUUUUUUGCCAGCUAUUCUUAUUCUUGAUUUGCUUGUGCUGUGUGAAAAGCCUUUUUCACUUAUCUUAAGCUUAGGUCUUUAUUUUUAGAAGAUAGAGAUUAUGUUCCCUUAAAGUUAAAUCCUUUGUCAUGCUAGCUGGUGUUUAUCCACAGGUUUGUUUAUAAAUUGAGUUUUAUUUGAUUAUGUUAAUCCCGUAUUCACUUUUAAAUUGGUUCCUUCAUUGCUAAUUGUG
rnacentral:lncRNA from 1 species